rnacentral:rRNA from 1 species
CCCGCUGAACUUAAGCAUAUCAAUAAGCGGAGGAAAAGAAACCAACAGGGAUUGCCCUAGUAACGGCGAGUGAAGCGGCAACAGCUCAAAUUUGAAAUCUGGCUCUUUCAGGGUCCGAGUUGUAAUUUGUAGAGGGCGCUUUGGCGUUGGCAGCGGUCUAAGUUCCUUGGAACAGGACGUCACAGAGGGUGAGAAUCCCGUAUGUGGUCGCUUGUCUUCGCCGUGUAAAGCCCCUUCGACGAGUCGAGUUGUUUGGGAAUGCAGCUCUAAAUGGGAGGUAAAUUUCUUCUAAAGCUAAAUAUUGGCCAGAGACCGAUAGCGCACAAGUAGAGUGAUCGAAAGAUGAAAAGCACUUUGGAAAGAGAGUCAAAAAGCACGUGAAAUUGUUGAAAGGGAAGCGCUUGCAGCCAGACUUGCCUGUAGUUGCUCAUCCGGGAUCCUUCCCGGUGCACUCUUCUGCGGGCAGGCCAGCAUCAGUUCAGGCGGUUGGAUAAAGACCUAUGUCAUGUAGCUCUCUUCGGGGAGUGUUAUAGGGUAGGUGAAAUGCAGCCAGCUUGGAUUGAGGUCCGCGCAUCUGCUAGGAUGCUGGCGUAAUGGCUGUAAGCGGCCCGUCUUGAAACACGG